UGUAUUUAUUAGAUUAAAAACCAAUGCCCUUCGGGGCUCACUGGUGAUUCAUGAUAACUCCUCGAAUCGCAUGGCCUUGUGCCGGCGAUGGUUCAUUCAAAUUUCUUCCCUAUCAACUUUCGAUGUUUGGGUAUUGGCCAAACAUGGUUGCAACGGGUAACGGAGGGUUAGGGCUCGACCCCGGAGAAGGAGCCUGAGAAACGGCUACUACAUCCAAGGAAGGCAGCAGGCGCGCAAAUUACCCAAUCCCGACACGGGGAGGUAGUGACAAUAAAUACUGAUACAGGGCUCUUUUGGGUCUUGUAAUUGGAAUGAGUACAAUUUAAAUCCCUUAACGAGGAACAAUUGGAGGGCAAGUCUGGUGCCAGCAGCCGCGGUAAUUCCAGCUCCAAUAGCGUAUAUUAAAGUUGUUGUGGUUAAAAAGCUCGUAGUUGAACCUUGGGCCUGGCUGGCCGGUCCGCCUCACCGCGUGUACUGGUCCGGCCGGGCCUUUCCCUCUGUGGAACCCCAUGCCCUUCACUGGGUGUGGCGGGGAACCAGG
rnacentral:rRNA from 1 species